CCUACGGGUGGCAGCAGUCAAGAAUCUUGCACAAUGGACGAAAGUCUGAUGCAGCGACGCCGCGUGAUCGAUGAAGCCCCUCGGGGUGUAAAGAUCUUUUAUCAGGGACGAACUUCUGACGGUACCUGAUGAAUAAGAGGUUGCUAACUCUGUGCCAGCAGCAGCGGUAAUACAGAGACCUCAAGCGUUACCCGGAUUUAUUGGGCGUAAAGAGUCUGUAGGCGGUUUGGUAAGUCAGGCGUUAAAUCUCAGGGCUCAACUCUGGGACCGCGUUUGAAACUACUAAACUAGAGACCGGAAGAGGCAGAUGGAAUUGCCGGUGUAGGGGUAAAAUCCGUUAAUAUCGGCAAGAACACCAAAUGCGAAGGCUUUCUGCUAGGACGGUUCUGACGCUGAGAGACGAAAGCGUGGGGAGCGAAUGGGAUUAGAUACCCUUGUAGUC
rnacentral:rRNA from 1 species